UACGUAGGGUGCAAGCGUUGUCCGGAUUUAUUGGGCGUAAAGAGCGUGUAGGCGGCUAGGUAGGUCCGUUGUGAAAACUCGAGCUCAACCUCGAGACGCCGGUGGAAACCAUCUAGCUAGAGUCCGGAAGAGGAGAGUGGAAUUCCUGGUGUAGCGGUGAAAUGCGCAGAUAUCAGGAAGAACACCCGUGGCGAAGGCGGCUCUCUGGGACGUGACUGACGCUGAGACGCGAAAGCGUGGGGAGCGAACAGG
rnacentral:rRNA from 1 species